GGGACCUAAAAGAGCUAGCAGAA
rnacentral:piRNA from 1 species